rnacentral:rRNA from 1 species
ACGAACGUUAGCGGCGCGCUUAACACAUGCAAGUCGAGCGAGAAAGGGGAAACCCCGGUAAAGCGGCGCACGGGUGAGUAACACGUAGGUAAUCUGCCCCCAGGUGGUGGAUAACCUUCCGAAAGGAGGGCUAAUACAGCAUGAGACCACGGUUCCGAAAGGGAUUGAGGUCAAAGCCGGCCACUUCAUGAAAGCUGGCGCCAGGGGAUGAGCCUGCGGCCCAUCACGGUAGUUGGUAGGGUAAUGGCCUACCAAGCCUAAGACGGGUAGCUGGUCUGAGAGGAUGAUCAGCCACACUGGAACUGAGACACGGUCCAGACUCCUACGGGAGGCAGCGGUGGGGAAUCUUGCGCAAUGGGCGAAAGCCUGACGCAGCGACGCCGCGUGAGUGAUGAAGGCC